rnacentral:rRNA from 1 species
AAUGAACGCUGGCGGCAUGCCUAAUACAUGCAAGUCGAGCGACCACACGAUGAGCUUUUUCUUUUGCCGUUGGCGGCUGCCGGGCGAGUAACGAAUGCAUCACCUACUUCUUCUACUUGGAUUACUUCGUGAAGCCACUGACAAUACUUCAUCAUAUUUCCAACGGCUUGAUUCAGUGGUUCUACCCGCUUUUCCCGUCACUUAUCGCCGGAUCCGGGUCGCAUUAGCUAGUUGGUAAAGGCACGGCUUACCAAGGCAACGUUGCGUAGCCGACCGGAGAGGGUGAUCGGCCACACUGGAACUGAGACACGGUCCAGACUCCUACGGGAGGCAGCAGUAGGGAAUCUUGGGCAAUGGGCGAAAGCCUGACGCAGCCAUGCCGCGUGAGUGAAGAAGGGCUUCGGAUCGUAAAACACUGUUAUUAGGGAAGAACAAAAGUGUAAGUAAAUAUCCCCGUCUUGACGGUACCCAAACAAAAAGCCACGGCUAACUUCGUG